GUAGGUGGCAAGCGUUGUCCGGAAUUAUUGGGCGUAAAGCGCGCGCAGGCGGUCCUUUAAGUCUGAUGUGAAAGCCCACGGCUCAACCGUGGAGGGUCAUUGGAAACUGGGGGACUUGAGUACAGAAGAGGAAAGCGGAAUUCCAAGUGUAGCGGUGAAAUGCGUAGAGAUUUGGAGGAACACCAGUGGCGAAGGCGGCUUUCUGGUCUGUAACUGACGCUGAGGCGCGAAAGCGUGGGGAAGCAAACAGGGAUUAGAUACCCUGGUAGUCCACGCCGUAAACGAUGAGUGCUAAGUGUUAGGGGGUUUCCCGCCCCCUUAGUGCUGCAGCUAACGCAUUAAGCACUCGCCUGGGGAGUACGGCCGCAAGGCUGA
rnacentral:rRNA from 1 species